rnacentral:rRNA from 1 species
AGGACGAACGCUGGCGGCGCGCUUAACACAUGCAAGUCGAGCGAGAACCGGUCCUUCGGGACUGGGGAAAGCGGCGAACGGGUGAGUAACACGUGGGUAAUCAACCCUUGGUACCGGGAUAGCCCGAGGAAACUCGGAUUAAUACCGGAUGGCCCAACAGCUCUUCGGGGCGGUUGGAAAAGGUAGCUUCGGCCUCCGACCAAGGACGAGCCCGCGGCGGAUUAGCUUGUUGGUGAGGUAACGGCUCACCAAGGCGACGAUCCGUAGCUGGUCUGAGAGGACGAUCAGCCACACUGGGACUGAGACACGGCCCAGACUCCUACGGGAGGCAGCAGUGGGGAAUCUUGCACAAUGGGCGAAAGCCUGAUGCAGCGACGCCGCGUGAGGGAAGAAGGCUUUCGGGUUGUAAACCUCUUUCAGGAGGGACGAAGCUACUCGGGUUAAUAGCCCAGAGGGUGACGGUACCUUCAGAAGAAGCCCGGCUAACUACGUGCCAGCAGCCGCGGUAA